GGAUCAUGCAAAGAAAUUGUGUUUAUUUAAUGUUACUCAAGAAGUUAAAGAAAAAAAGUCUUUUUGGGAAAACGUUUCUUAAAGAAGUGGUUUUAUGGUGUUUCAAUGAAAUUUCUUCCACUCACAAAACAACUAUAAUUACCCAAACACGUUUUAAUUUUUGCAGAAACCCUUUUCUCCAGAAAAAAAAUCCCAAAGUUAC
rnacentral:misc_RNA from 1 species